rnacentral:rRNA from 1 species
UCCGGUUGAUCCUGCCGGACCCGACUGCUAUUUGGGUGAGAAUAAGCCAUGCGAGUUGAAUGGGAUACCUAAAUUUCCCAUAGCGAACUGCUCAGUAACACAUGAUCAACUUACCCUAUAGAGAAACAUAACCUCGGGAAACUGAGGAUAAUAUUUCAUAGUUGAAUAGGCUUGGAAAAGUUUUUCAAUAAAAGAGAUAAAAAAAUGGUUUUUAUCUGCUAUAGGAUAGGAUCGUGGACGAUUAUGGUUGUUGGUGAGGUAACGGCUCACCAAGCCGAUAAUCGAUAGGGGCCGUGAGAGCGGGAGCCCCGAGAUGGGUACUGAGACAACGACCCAGGCCUUACGAGGCGCAGCAGGCGCGGAACCUCCGCAAUACACGAAAGUGUGACGGGGUUACCCAAAGUGUUCAAUUUUGAACUGUGGUAGGUGAGUAAUGUUCCCUACUAGAAAGGAGAGGGCAAGGCUGGUGCCAGCCGCCGCGGUAAAACCAGCUCUUCAAGUGGUCGGGAUAAUUAUUGGGCUUAAAGUGUCCGUAGCCGGUUUAGUAAGUUCCUGGUAAAAUCGGGUAGCUUAACUAUCUGUAUGCUAGGAAUACUGCUAUACUAGAGGGCGGGAGAGGUCUGAGGUACUACAGGGGUAGGGGUGAAAUCUUAUAAUCCUUGUAGGACCACCAGUGGCGAAGGCGUCAGACUGGAACGCGCCUGACGGUGAGGGACGAAAGCCAGGGGAGCGAACCGGAUUAGAUACCCCGGUAGUCC